GUGUUGUAUGAAACAAGAGAAGGUUAGCACUCCCCUUAACAAGGAUGGAAGAGGCCCUCGGGCCUGACAACACGCAUACGGAAAAAGAAGGUUUUGACAUUUGACUCACAGCACAUUGUCAGGAUUACAU
ensembl:snRNA